CGGUUGAUCCUGCCGGAGGUCACUGCUAUUGGGAUUCGACUAAGCCNUGCGAGUCGAGAGGGUUCGGCCCUCGGCUGACGGCUCAGUAACACGUGGAUAAUCUGCCCUUAGGUGGAGGAUAAUCUCGGGAAACUGAGGAUAAUACUCCAUAGAUCUAGGAUGCUGGAAUGCAUCUAGAUUGAAAGCUCCGGCGCCUAAGGAUGAGUCUGCGGACUAUCAGGUUGUAGUCAGGGUAAAGACCUGACUAGCCUACGACGGAUACGGGUUGUGAGAGCAAUAACCCGGAGACGAUAUCUGAGACACGAUAUCGGGCCCUACGGGGCGCAGCAGGCGCGAAAACUUCACACUGUGCGAAAGCGCGAUGAGGGAAUCCCAAGUGUUUGCUCGUAAGAGUAAACUGUUUCUUUGUUUAAAACGCAGAGAGAGUAAGGGCUGGGUAAGACGGGUGCCAGCCGCCGCGGUAAUACCUGCAGCUCGAGUGGUGAUCAUUAUUAUUGGGCCUAAAACGUCCGUAGCCGGUUUAGUAAAUGCCUGGGUAAAUCGUGUAGCUUAACUAUACGACUUCCGGGUAGACUGCUAAACUUGAGACCGGGAGAGGCUAGAGGUACUCCUGGGGUAGAGGUGAAAUUCUGUAAUCCUAGGGGGACCACCAGUGGCGAAGGCGUCUAGCUAGAACGGGUCUGACGGUGAGGGACGAAGCCCUGGGGCACAAACCGGAUUAGAUACCCGGGUAGUCCAGGGUGUAAACGCUGCUUGCUUGAUGUUAGUUGGGCUCCGAGCCCAACUAGUGUCGGAGAGAAGUUGUUAAGCAAGCUGCCUGGGAAGUACGGUCGCAAGGCUGAAACUUAAAGGAAUUGGCGGGGGAGCAC
rnacentral:rRNA from 1 species